UACGAAGGGAGCUAGCGUUGUUCGGAAUCACUGGGCGUAAAGCGCACGUAGGCGGAUGUGUCAGUCAGGGGUGAAGUCCCGGAGCUCAACUUCGGAACUGCCUUUGAUACAGCACGUCUUGAGUCCGAUAGAGGUGGGUGGAAUUCCUAGUGUAGAGGUGAAAUUCGUAGAUAUUAGGAAGAACACCAGUGGCGAAGGCGGCUCACUGGUCCGGUACUGACGCUGAGGUGCGAAAGCGUGGGGAGCAAACAGG
rnacentral:rRNA from 1 species